rnacentral:rRNA from 1 species
UACGAAGGGGGCUAGCGUUGCUCGGAAUCACUGGGCGUAAAGGGUGCGUAGGCGGGGCUUUAAGUCAGGGGUGAAAUCCUGGAGCUCAACUCCAGAACUGCCUUUGAUACUGAGGAUCUUGAGUUCGGGAGAGGUGAGUGGAACUGCGAGUGUAGAGGUGAAAUGCGUAGAGAUCGGGAGGAACACCCGUAGCGAAGGCGGCCGACUGGACCACACCUGACGCUGAGGCGCGAAGGCCAGGGGAGCGAACGGG